GCCUGGCUAAUCCAGCGCGUUGGAAAGCGACUCUCCUCACCGUCUGGAUUGAACCAGUCUCUGCCUUGUUCAGUAUUGUUUCUACAGUUUGCAGUAGCUUCAGACACAGUUUAACAGCACGAGUUGUUGCCUCGUGGAUCAAAUUCAGACCCGACGUUUCAGUAUGGUAGAUAGAGCUCCCUCCCGACCCCGUGCGGCCGCCGCCGGGCCGCACCGGGCGGCCACCACUCAACCUGCCCCCGACCCCCGCGCACCCCCCCUCCUUCCGCCGCCGCCGGCAACGUCGCUGGGCGAAGGCCCUGUGGCGCGACGGCGGCGGACCUCCUCUGGCCCGAGAUCUGAGGGGGCGACGGCCUUAUUUGGAUUUCCCUCCCGACGAGGAUGGCGGGCAGCGGCGGCCGGGGCGCGACGGGGGGCUUGGCUGCAGCCGUCGGGAUUAGUAGGAGAUGGCGGCAGUGGCGGCCGGGGCGCGUCCCGAGCUCGAUCUAGGACCUUCGGGGCUAGGCGGGCGGAUGCCGUUAACUGUUGCAUCUCGUCGGAUUCAGCAACGCCUGGCUGAAGCACUCCGGGUCGCAUCGCAUCACAAGGAUUAUGGCGGUGGUGGUCAUCUCCUACAUCAGAGGUGGUCGACCUGAGGCUGGGUGAUCGGAUCUCGAGAUCUGUAAUCUAGACCCGGCUGAGAGUCGCGGAGACAUAGUUGCUGGUGAAAACCGAGCCGAUGACGGGCGAUAGCGGCGUUCUGCGUCGUUACCUUGAUGAAGGCAUCAUCCUGUAACUAUUGUCAACCCACUCGUGCUGCUCCGGAGGACUACUGUCAACCCACUCGUGCUGCUCCGGAGGAAAACCUAGGAUCUUCGGUGGAGAUGUCCAUGACAUCAUUGUCAUGGACAGAUCGCUCUUGGAUGGAACUUUCCAGACGACUUAUCUUGGGCAAUCGGAUGAGUUCCCAUUACGCCAUAUACUCCUCCCUUGCUUGGAUUUUGGGCAUAAAAAUUAGAUGCUUACAAGUGCAAUGUGGACGUGGUAGGAGUACUCUCUCAGCGCAAAAUUGAGCAGGUCCCAGCUCCCAGCUGAGGAGUCUGAAGGGGGAAUCAAAUGCAAAAGGCUGAAGCCCAGCUGGGACCGGAGGCGGCAUAGGAACAAAAACGGCUACUGAAUCAUCAAGAGCAUGAAAAGAGAUGAUAGAAAAGUAGUUGCUGAUUAAAAGGUUUAGUGUCUUUGAAAUGCAUACUUGGCCGAGAAAAUUCACUGGACGAUAUUUAUUUUAUAAAGGGAGAAAAGAAAAAGACUU